rnacentral:tRNA from 1 species
GCCAGUGUGGCUCAGUGGUUGAGCAUUGGCCUAUGAACUGGGAGGUCCUGGUUCGAUUCCAGGCCAGGGCA